UCGGGUGGCAGCGAUGGGGGCAAUAGGGGCUAUGGGGUCCAACUAGGGGCAAUGGGGGCAAUGGGGGCAAUGGGGAUUCAAUGGGGGCAAUGGUCCAAUUAUGGCAUCUGGUCAAUAGGGGCAAUGGGGUCAAUCGGGGGCUACUGGGGUCAAUGGGGUCAACUAGGGGCAAUGGGGCAACUGCGGGUCAAUGGGGUCAGUGAGGUCAAUGGGGGCAAUGGGGUCAAUAGGCGACAAUCGGGGGCAAAUGGGGUCAAUGGGGGCAAUGGGGUCAAAUGGGGUCAAUGGCUGGCCAAUGGGGCAACUGGGGGCAAUGGGUCAAUAGGGGAAUGGGGGGCCAAUGGGGGCAAUGGGGUCAAUUAGGGGCAAUAGGGCAUAAUUGGGGUCAAUGGGGCCAUAUUGGGGUCAAUGGGGCCAUAGUGCUCACCCCACCCCAUAUGUGCCCCCCUCCUUUCCAGGCCAAGCGUCUGUUUGAAGCCCUACACGAACCCUUCCUGAAGACCCCCAAAAACCCCACAACUGCCCUUUGAUCCUAUAAACCAACGAACCCAUAAACACAACAAGCGCCGCACUGCGACUGCAGCACCACUGCGGGGUCAAUGGGGCCAUAUUGGGGUCAAUGGGGCCAUAUUGGGGUCAAUGGGGACAUAUUGGGGUCAAUGGGGACACAUUGGGGUCAAUGGGGCCAUAUUGGGGUCAAUGGGGACACAUUGGGGUCAAUUGGGACACAUUGGGGUCAGUGGGUCCAUAUUGGGGUCAAUGGGGCCGUAUUGGGGACAAUGGGGACAUAUUGGGGUCAAUGGGGCCAUAUUGGGGUCAGUAGGGCCAUAUUGGUGUCAAUAGGGGCAUUUGGGGGUCAGUGGGCCACUUGGGGGUCAAUGGCGUCGCCUGGGGCUCAAUGGGGACACUUGGGGGUCAAUGGGGGCACUUGGGGGUCAAUGGGGGCACUUUGGGGUCAGUGGGGGCACAUGGGGGACAAUGGGGACACAUUGGGGUCAGUGGGGACACAUUGGGGUCAAUGGGGCCAUAUUGGGGACAAUGGAGCCAUAUUGGGGUCAAUGGGGCCAUAUUGGGGUCAAUGUGGCCAUAUCAUGAUCAAUGUGGCCAUAUUGGGGUCAAUGGGGGCAAUGGGGCCAUAUUGGGGUUAAUAGGGCCAUAUUGGGUUUAAUAGGGCUAUAUUGGGGUCAAUGGGGUUGUAUUGCGUUCAUUGGGGCCAUAUUGGGGUCAGUGGGGCCAUACUGGGGUUAAUGGGGCCAUACUGGGGUCAUUGGUACCACAUGGGGGUCAGUGGGGCCAUAUUGGGGUCAGUGGGGCCAUAUUGGGGUUAAUGGGGCCAUAUUGGGGUCCAUAGGGCCAUAUUGGGGUCAAUGGGGCCAUAUUGGGGUCAAUGGGGCCAUAUUGGGGUCAGUGGGGCCUUAUUGUGGUCAAUGGGGCCAUAUUGGGGUCAAUAGGGCCAUAUUGGGGUCAAUGGGGACACACGGGGGUCAUUGGGGCCGUAUUGGGGUCAAUGGGGACACAUUGGGGUCAAUGGGGCCAUAUUGGGGUCAAUGGGGCCAUAUUGGGGACAAUCGGGACAAAUUGUGGUCAAUGGGGACACAUUGGGGUCAAUGGGGCCAUAUUGGGGACUAUGGGGCCAUAUUGGGGUCAAUGGGGCCAUAUUGGGGUCAAUGGGGCAAUAUUGGGGUCAAUGGGGACACAUUGGGGUCAAUGGGGCCAUAUUGGGGUCAAUGGGGCCGUAUUGGGGUUAAUGGGGCCAUAUUGGGGUCAAUGGGGACACAUUGGGGUUAAUGGGGCCAUAUUGGGUUCAUUUGGGACAUAUUGGGGUCAAUGGGGACACAUUGGGGUCAAUGGGG
ensembl:lncRNA